GAGACGAGUUCACUGAGUUGCUUAGGGCCUCGCUAAGUUGCUGAGGUUGGCUUUGAACCUCUCGACCCUCCUGCCUCAGCCUCCCAAGAUGUUGGGAUUACAGAUGUGUGUUACUGUGCCCAGCACUAUUGUUUAUUUCUGUCUUCUGUUCUACUUGUGCAUUUAUAACUUUUUGCAAAUUUUAGAACAUAUAUUUCACAUCAUCACAUAUUCUUUAAAGCUUCAUUUAAUACUGAAGGCAUAUAAAAUCAUAAUGGAAAUACAAAAUUCACUCAGUGAAUUUCACCUUAAUAUUUUGUUAGGUAACUUAACUCCCUUGCUAUUGUUGGAUGUUUUGCUUACUUUCACCAUCUCUUUAAAAUAAUUCCAUGAUAACUAUCUUGGUAUGGAACUCCUUUUUAAUCUCUCUGAUGUUACCGUUUAUACACCCUAUUAUACUGUCUCCCGACAUUCUGUUUGGUUUUGUUUUUUCUUGAUUGUUUCACACUUAUCAAAAUCUCUAUAAACUUUUUUGUUGUUGUUGUUGUUCUAAUAUAGUUAAACAUUCCUCUCAGCACUGAAUUAAUAUAAAUAGGUGUUGUGUCUUUACUAAAAGUAUCAACUGAAUAGAACCAUGGACAGAGCUUCCCAUUAGAACUUUCUCUGUGUUGAUAUGAACCACUGAAGAGGAAGGGAACUUUUACUUUUUUUUUUUUCUGUUACAUUCUUUUUUUUAUAACUUCAUUUUGUUUAUUAUUAUUAUUUUUAAUGUGGUGCUGAGGAUCGAACCCAGGGCCUCUCACAUGAUAGGCGAGUGCUCUACCACUGAGCCACAACCCCAACCCUUGUUACAUUCUUAACAUUCUAGAAUUGACAUAAAUAGAAAUAACAUAGCAUAAGUCUGACUGCAGGCAAAGCCCACAUUAAUCUGAUGCUACAUUUAACUCCCUUGUCUUAUUUUUUUAUACAGAACAUACACUGAUCUUUAUUGGAUUUGACAAAAUCUACAUUACUAAAAGGUAACACAAUUUGAGCUUUUAUUGAAUUUGACAAAUUAAGUUCUAUAGUAUCUAGGAUAUCAUGUGAGAAAUAGCAAAUAAAGGGGAAACAAAUCAUCACAUGCAGAUUCUCCUGGCAAAGUGGGAACCAUAUCUCAAUUGUGCAGGUGAGGUCUAGAGGUGCAGCACAUGAAAACAAAACAAAACAAAAUCCAGAGAAAAUGUAUUUACCUUACUUGUGUGAAAUGUUUUUCCUUUUAGGGGGAAGAAGAGGUAGUCAAAAGGCAGGAAUUCAAAGGCAGGAUGGCUUCUCCAUUUCAAGAUGGUAAUAAAGAUAUUUAAUUCAUGGCACUAGGGCACCUUUGAGAAAAAGGACACCUAAACCAGAGUGGGCUUGUUGCAUAAUUUUUUGACGAUAUGUACAAUUUUGAAGUAAUGAAGCAGAUGUAAAGAAUAAGUUCAUUUUAACGGUGGCUCUGUUUUUCUUCUCGGGCUGGAUAUGUUUUCACAUCACAAGAACAUUUUCCCACAAUUUCUAAGGAAACAUCUCUUAUUCUUGAAUACCUUAUAUAAAGUAAUCAUCAAGAAUUUUCUCUCCAGCUGGGCACGCCUGUAAUCUCAGCAGCUCAGGAGGCUGAGGUAGGAGGAUCUCAAGUUUAAAGCCAGACUCAGCAACUUAGCGAGGCCUUACGCAAUUUAGUGAGACCCUUUCUCAAAAUACAAAAUUAAAAUGGCUGGCGAUGUGACUUGGUGGUUAAGUACCUCUGGUUCAAUCCCUGGUACCAAAAAUAAGAAAAAAAAUUUUUUUUUCUCCAUACAACUAUACAACAGUAUCUCUAUAUUUCAGGUUCUUUAGUGCAAGGGCUUAUGAAGAAGGUUUCGAUUCCCUUAUUCAAAGGAUAGCAGGCGCCAGUAUAUAUAAUCUAUGAAUUUAUAGUGAGCACUUCAACUCUUAUCUGCUUUUUGUUUCAACUGUCUAUUGUUAUGCUAAACCAAUGACAACCUUCUCUUAUUGGCUGCUCCAGUCCAUCUCCUUCAGGAGAUGAUUGUGUAAAUACCCAUCUACAGUUCUUCGUUGACUUCCCAUAUCAUAAGGAAAAACAAAGACUUCAUCAAGUUGGCCAUAUUGAAUUUGAUCUUUAGCCUUCUCUUCAAUCCAUGAUUCAGCAGAAGUUUUGUUUUUGAGAAUUAUUUUCCUUAAAAACAAACAAACAAACUCGAUAGUUAAUCCCAAGGCAAACAAGAUGGCAGCAAAUUCAGCUAAUCCAAAGGAAAACAAUUGGCAGAGGAUCUCUCUGGACUUUGCUCCUAUCAGUCCUUAUUAUGUUCCACCUGAGGGAGAGCCGAUUAUAAAGCUGUGUGUUCAUAGUCAUAACAAAACCCAAAGUGGUUAUGAUUGCUGUAUGUAUAUAGGUGACUCUAUGACCAGUGUGAUUCUGUAAUCUGUACAAUUAGAAAAAUGAGAAAUUAUACCCCAAUGAUUCAAAUGUAUGAAUUGCCAAGAUCAUUGUAAUGUCAUGUGUAGCUAAUAAAAAAAUAAUAAAAUUAAAAAAAAAAAAGUGGUGUGUGUGGGUACAACCCAGCAGUGCCUAAAGGAGAAACAGUGUGAACCAAGCACGACCUUGGGAACCAGGACCUUUGUUGAUCUGAGGACAGCGAUGAUCCCUCUUCAUCUGCUACACUUUCUGCAGGGAUAUGAGCUGGCGCCUUAUGUGUUUGGCAGACUCUGACAUACUGGAGACACAUGGUGUCCUGAGAAUUUUCUAGUAUCCACCCCAGAGGAACAAAGCCCGGACCAACAAACCUGGCCCUGGGUAAUUAUAAAGAAUCUCCAUAGUCUAAUUUAUCAACAUGAUGAAGUUCACACUUCCUCCAGUUGUCAAGAACAUAACACAAUCAAUCAUAGCCAUUGCAGAACAUCCUGCUAUAGCACCCAGGACUGUGAUGGGGCCCCAGCGACAGCCUCU
rnacentral:tRNA from 1 species